CCCUUAGAUGUCCUGGGCCGCACGCGCGCUACACUGACAUGUUCAACAAGCCUCCUAGUUCGACAGGAUUUGGGAAAUCUUUGAACGCAUGUCGUGAUAGGGAUAGAUCAUUGCAAUUAUUGAUCUUGAACGAGGAAUCCCUAGUAAACGCGAGUCAUCAGCUCGCAUUGAUUACGUCCCUGCCCUUUGUACACACCGCCCGUCGCACCUACCGAUUGAAUGUUUCGGUGAAGAUUCCGGAUAGGACUUUUUUGAUUUAUUUCAAUUCUGUCUUAAAAGCUAUCUAAACCUCAACAUUUAGAGGAAGGUGAAGUCGUAACA
rnacentral:rRNA from 1 species